AAUUUUAUUUCAAAAUGUAAACGUCACUAAACAUGCAUACACGUUAAAACAAUAAAAUUUACAAUUUCGUUAAUUUUUCUUUUUGCAUAGGACAUCAUUACAAUAUAGAAUCUAUGCCAUACAAAAUACAUACAAAGUUUUAUCCGAGCAAGCCAAGGCCAGACUGGGAACUGUACAACUGUAAUACUUCACUGUAGUGAUCCAGGAAGAUGAAACAUGGCCUUCAGAAUUAUGGUGGGUGCUGGUUAAAAAAAAGUUCCUACAAAAAAGAAAAACAUGAGCUCCAUGGAAAUGGUCUUGGACCCUUGGAUUCUGCCUUGGGCUUUUGGCAAACGAUUCCAGAGAAGCUCCACCAAUGGCUUUGGAUGGGAAAGGUUGCUCAGUAGUGCCUCCUUCCUGCUGAGGCCGACCAGCCCCAGAGGCCCCAGCACUCGGCACCGGGGUGGAGCCCGCUCAGACACUGGGGCUGAUGGGCCCGCGGGGUGUCUAGAGCCACAUGGGAGGUGGCCCUUGCUCCUCUCAGGGCAGCCAGAUACAGGGGGGCUCCUGUGCUGAGUGUGUGGCCUCGCAGGCAUUCGGCUCACACACCUAGUUUCCAAAUAAGCAGGCGCUGUGGCCUGUCCACAGGCCCUUCAGAAGAGGCUGGAGAAAGCAGGACCCUGAGGCCUUAAGCAAGCUGUUCGCCCCCCACCCCACCCCCGGACUUCCUGCCUCCACCCCCCACCCCCUCUCGGGAAUGUGUGACUUGUAGGGUAGGGGAAGCUACUUCUCUCCCAUCCAGUUCGGUUUUAAAUAAAAGUAGUAAAGUUUUAAAGCUGUAUGAGAAAGAGAGAGGCAGGGCAGGGCCAGGUAGCCGCACUGCAAGUCCGAAAUCCGUAGAAACCAAGCGCGGCCCCUCUUCCCUCAUGGACACCGGGCUCCCGUCUCCGGCCGAAUUCAACUCUUCUGAUGCUGAGGGACACGACGGCAGGCAGGCGGCGGCACCUCGCCCUAAAGGGUACUCAGGUGUGUGUCAGUAGUAAGCUGGACUGUGCAUCCAAGUUCUGGUACAAAGGUCUCUGGAAUGUGUCUCAGACAAGUCUUCAGAGCCUCAGAAUUAGGAAAAUUAGUAAUAGGACCUGGUUCUCCCUGGGGUAAUCCUGAUUUCAAAAACCAUCAGCCCACGCCUCGGAUUUUAGCUUUGGAAAAUAUGGUUACCAGAAUUGUAUAUGGAAACAGUCAGCAAAAGAUGUGGAUAACCUACAAAGCGUUUCUUACUGGUUGUGAUGUGACCAACACAUCACACCCUUUAAACCUUCUAGCACUGUGUCUUUGACUAAAUGACCUUUUUUAAAUGGGGGAAAGAAAAUCAGUGACACCUGUCAGAGGUGAAAAUAGUCAGGUAGCCCUGUAAACACAGCCACAACCAGAAGUGGAGAAACAAGGCCACACUAUUGCUCAGAUCACAUCUUCCUGUUGGGUGGCACCCCUGCCCAGCUGAGAUCCUGAAUGGGUCCCUAGGGAGUACCAGGGCCCUGUGCAGUCCAUCUUAGCAUUUGCUUCUGGCAAGAAAGAGGAUGGUCUUCUGGACACACCAGGUCAGGAGACAGAAGACUUGAGGUCAAGUCUUGAGGCAGAGUGGCCAGCCCUCUCUGCCCAUCCCCACCUCUGAAUCACCCCUCACCGGUCUGAGCUGUGUUCAGGGUGCAGCAAGGCCUGGGAUCGCCAUUGCCUCAGAUCUUUGUACCUGGAGGCUGCACCAUGGCGAAUCCUGCACCUGCCUUGGUGUGGGGCCUGGAAAUAAAGUCAGGAUUAGGAGUGCGGCCAUCUUGCACUCGAGUGUCGUGGGUGGGGGCGCAGCAGGAUGCAGGUAGGGCACCUCCAGGACCAUGUUCCCAUCCAGGACAUCUCUGCUCGUUCCUACGCAGCACCCUGCAGGACAGGAUCCCAGGGCUCUUUGAGGAAAGGGCUGUGUCCAUCUGUUUUCCUGUAUGGCUGUAGGAUCCAGUAGGCAUUUGGGGAGCUGACAACCGUUCCCCUAAUAUGGCUGAUGUAAAGAGGGGCUUCCUUGUCUGGGACAUGAGCAACACCAGCCCCUUGAUGCCUGAGCCCCAAAUCAAUUUUAGACCUUUUAUAGGGGAACUCUCCCUUCACUCAGGCGAACUUCAUUCUGAGAUCUCUGCCCCUAUGGGCCACUAGAACUGAAGUCCCAGAACAAGGGUUUGAGUUUUCACUAUUAUUUAUAUGAGUCCUAUGGGUUCCUCAACCCCACCAAAACUGGCAAGCAUGGCCAUAAACCACAAAAAUGGAAGACCCUGAAAUAGAUGCAGUCUGGGAAAACAUUCUGCAUGUUUGAAGAAAAUGAAGCCUGUUUCAGGAGGGUCCGCCUUGUGUGCCCACUUCAGUGGAGGCAGCGUUCCAAGGCCCACCACCCUCUUCCACAGGAAUCCCUCACUUCAUGAUGAGAUGGACAUCUGCCCUUGAGGACCCCUGUGAACUGUGCCUGAGAUUCAUGGGUUUCUCCCCGCCCUUCAAGUGAGAUGAGUUUAAAACCCCAGAUGAUUCAGGAGG
ensembl:lncRNA